CCUACGGGAGGCAGCAGUGAGGAAUAUUGGUCAAUGGACGAGAGUCUGAACCAGCCAAGUAGCGUGAAGGAUGACUGCCCUAUGGGUUGUAAACUUCUUUUGUAUGGGAAUAAAAUGUUCCACGUGUGGGAUUUUGUAUGUACCAUAUGAAUAAGGAUCGGCUAACUCCGUGCCAGCAGCCGCGGUAAUACGGAGGAUCCGAGCGUUAUCCGGAUUUAUUGGGUUUAAAGGGAGCGUAGGUGGAGUGUUAAGUCAGUUGUGAAAGUUUGCGGCUCAACCGUGAAAUUGCAGGUGAAACUGGUAGUCUUGAGUACAGUAGAGGUGGGCGGAAUUCGUGGUGUAGCGGUGAAAUGCUUAGAGAUCACGAAGAACUCCGAUUGCGAAGGCAGCUCACCGGACUGCAACUGACACUGAGGCUCGAAAGUGUGGGUAUCAAACAGGAUUAGAUACCCGAGUAGUC
rnacentral:rRNA from 1 species